rnacentral:lncRNA from 1 species
GAAAUAACAGGAGCCCUGAAGAAAAAAAAUUGUCUUACUUCAUGCAAGAGUUUUGAAAAAAAAAUAUAUGAAAGACUCCUACUCAAAAAAACAAAAACAAAAACAAACAAAAAUCCAAACCAAAACAAAUCAAAAAAAAAAAAAAAAAAAAAGCAAACAUUGGCUUGUAUAACUACAGAGACUUCGGGCUUGGUAAAGCAGCUUUUAAGGCAACAUAAUCAAAUGAGCCUUCUUUAUUUUUAUGAUUUCAAAAAAUAUGGCAUAAUUAACAAUACAUUGCUCUUGGUGAAAUCGCACCUUUCAUAUCAGGGAAAAACUUAAAAUGGAUAUGAGAAGUGAAGAAAGUGAUCAUAGGAGAAAACCAUCUCAGGUAAAAACAAAAAACAAAAGAGCAAUUAAUUGAUAAUUUUUUGAAGAAGCAACAAAAUUCUCUUAACUGUGUUUAGUUCUAAGAAUUCUUUUCGUAUUCUUUGUGAAUCGAGCUGUUUGAAUUUUCACUGAUGAUUUUCAUUUGAGAAUUUAUAGUAUCUGUCUUCAUGAAAAAUAUUAUUUUUUGCCUCAAUUUGUACUCAAUGUCCAGUUUACAUCACUUUGAAUGUAUAUCUGUAUAUCCAUUCAUAUAAUAUAGGUGCAAUACGGUUGAAUAGAAAGCUACUUAAGAAAAUGGAAAAUUGUAUUUUUUUCAUUUGUUGUACCAUACAAGAGAAAGUGAAAUCUGGGGGGAAGGAAUAAAAUUGUGCUUUUUAUCUUUUUUACAUGAGCUAGUAAGAUAGUAAAACCAAAUACACAUUCUUAAGUGAUAAAACCUGAAACCAAUAUUGCCUUUUUUCACAUCU